rnacentral:lncRNA from 13 species
UUUCAUUGCUGCCACAGUCUAUACUUGCCUAUGUUGGAAAAUUAUUCCAUUAGGGAUAUAUUAUGGUUGACCCUUGAACAACAUAGGUGUGGAAUUCAUGAAUAACACAAACAGUAUAGCAUUGGAUUAAAUUUUAAAUAUUAAAAAGUACUCAUAAUUUAAAAAAUAGAUAUGGUACAACUCUGUUUAUCGAAAUGGACCAGCAGCAACAAUAUCACAGAAGCCAUGCAUACCUGCUGUGCACAGAUCAUAGGCUCUAAUACUAUACCCCACUAAGAGGAGACAGGGCUCCACUGAUAAGUGACUAUUUUUCUAGGGACAGGGGAUGGAAAGUAUAAACUCAACUUUGGACAUAUUUUUUAGACAGCAAGGAAACUUUUAUGUCACAUCAAAAGGACACAGGGGACCAGGCAUGGUGGCUCAUGCCUGUAAUCCCAAAGCUUUGGGAGGCCAAGGCAGGUGGAUCACUUGAGACUAAGAGUUCCAGACCAGCCUGGCCAACAUAGCAAAACCUAUCUUUACAAAAAUACAAAAAUUAGCAUGUAGUCCCAGCUCCUCCAGAGCUGAGGCAUGAGAAUCACUAAACCCAGGAGGCGGAGGUUGUAGUGAGCCAAGAUCGUGCCAGUGCACUCCAGGCUAGGCAACAGAGAAAAACUCUGACUCAAAAAGAAAAAAAGAAUAAUGUUCAUAAUUGCUUGAAGUCCAUGGAAUCUCUAAGAAUUCAUGAUACUAAAAAAAGAGAGAGAAAGAACUCAUUUGUCACCAUCUAAGGUGACAGUUAAGGCUAUUAAGUCCAUUUCUUUGAAAAUAAGAAAAUGAAUGAAUAAUGUAUUUUGUCUUUCCUUUGCAAACAUCAUGACACCAAAGCCCCAGUUGAUACGGGCAAGCUUUGGAGAAGAAUGCUGAUGGAUCUACACAGAAGGAGCAAGUCUCUGGAAGCAGAGCCUGUGAUCUACUGGGGGACGAGGAAGACUCUCUGGAGCCGGGGAGUGAAGGAAGCAGGAAAGGGCAGGGGAACGCUACGUGAGGCUGGGUCCCAGCUGGAGAAGGGCAACACCUGGAUCUCAAG